AAUGAACGUUGGCGGCGUGGAUUAGGCAUGCAAGUCGAACGGGCCCGCAAGGGUCGGUGGCGGAAGGGUGAGUAAGGCGACGGCAACCAACCCCGAGGAUGGGUACAGCCGCGGGAAACUGCGGGUAAUCCCCAGCGAUGCGAGGGCGUCGGCAUCGACGCUUCGCCAAAUGGAUUCGUCCGCCUCGGGACGGGCCGUCGUGGUAUUAGGUUGUUGGCGGGGUAACGGCCCACCAAGCCUGCGAUGCCUACCGGGCGUGCGAGCGUGGCCCGGCACACUGGGGCUGCGACACUGCCCAGACCCCUACGGGAGGCUGCAGUCGAGAAUCUUCGGCAAUGGGCGCAAGCCUGACCGAGCGACGCCGCGUGGAGGACGAAGGCCUUCGGGUUGUAAACUCCUGUCGAGGGGGAGAAAGGCUCCGCGAGGGGCUUGAUCGAUCCCUGGAGGAAGCACGGGCUAAGUUCGUGCCAGCAGCCGCCGUAACAC
rnacentral:rRNA from 1 species